AUUGAGUUUGAUCCUGGCUCAGAAUGAACGUUGGCGGCGUGGAUUAGGCAUGCAAGUCGUGCGCGAAGCGUAGCAAUACGUGGAGAGCGGCGAAAGGGAGAGUAAUACAUAGGUACCCACCCCCGGGCCUGGGAUAGCGGCGGGAAACUGCCGGUAAUACCAGAUAACGUCUCCGGACCAAAGGUGUGAUUCCACCUGGGGAAGGGCCUGUGGCCUAUCAGCUAGUUGGUGGGGUAAUGGCCCACCAAGGCUAAGACGGGUAUGGGGCGUGAGAGCGUGCCCCCACUCACUGGGACUGAGACACUGCCCAGACACCUACGGGUGGCUGCAGUCGAGAAUCUUCGGCAAUGGGCGAAAGCCUGACCGAGCGACGCCGCGUGCGGGAUGAAGGCCUUCGGGUUGUAAACCGCUGUCGUAGGGGAGGAAGGAUCUGCGAAGAGCAGAACUUGACCGAUCCUAGGAGGAAGGGCCGGCUAAUCUCGUGCCAGCAGCCGCGGUAAUACGAGAGGCCCAAACGUUAUUCGGAAUUACUGGGCUUAAAGAGUUCGUAGGCGGCUUGGAAAGUGGGGUGUGAAAGCCCUCGGCUCAACCGAGGAAUUGCGCUCCAAACUCCCAAGCUUGAGGAGGCUAGAGGUGAGCAGAACUGAUGGUGGAGCGGUGAAAUGCGUUGAUAUCAUCAGGAAUACCGGAGGCGAAGGCGGCUCACUGGGACCUUUCUGACGCUGAGGAA
rnacentral:rRNA from 1 species